GUGUGAAGAAGGCCUUCGGGUUGUAAAGCACUUUUAUAUGGGAAGAAGUGUUGUGUGUUAAUACCACAAAGCAUUGACGGUACCAUAGGAAUAAGCCCCGGCUAACUCCGUGCCAGCAGCCGCGGUAAUACGGAGGGUGCGAGCGUUAAUCGGAAUUACUGGGCGUAAAGGGUGCGUAGGCGGCUUAAUAAGUCAGAUGUGAAAUCCCCGGGCUUAACCUGGGAACUGCAUUUGAAACUGUUGAGCUAGAGUGAGUGAGAGGUAAGUGGAAUUCAAGGCGUAGCGGUGAAAUGCGUAGAGGUCUUGAGGAACAUCAGUGGCGAAGGCGACUUACUGGCACUACACUGACGCUGAGGUACGAAAGCGUGGGGAGCGAACAGGAUUAGAUACCCUGGUAGUCCACGCCCUAAACGAU
rnacentral:rRNA from 1 species